rnacentral:rRNA from 1 species
UAUACUGUUGCUGCGGAGGGUCAUUGCCCCGGGGAAGGACAGGGUGACCGUCAGGUCUCCCCUGCCCGCCCCCCCGGAAACAGGCGCCCGCCGGGGGAAUCAAACUCUAUAUUUAUUUUUGUUUUACUGUAUACUGUCUGAGUACAAUCAUAAUAAUGAAUCA